ACUGGUGUAGGAAUAAAGUUCAU
rnacentral:piRNA from 1 species